rnacentral:rRNA from 1 species
UACAGAGGGUGCGAGCGUUAAUCGGAAUUACUGGGCGUAAAGGGUGCGUAGGUGGUUUGAUAAGUUAGGUGUGAAAGUCCUGGGCUUAACCUGGGGAUUGCGCUUAAGACUGUCGAGCUAGAGUACUGUAGAGGAAGGUGGAAUUUCCGGUGUAGCAGUGAAAUGCGUAGAUAUCGGAAGGAACAUCAGUGGCGAAGGCGACUUUCUGGACAGAUACUGACACUGAGGCACGAAAGCGUGGGGAGCAAACAGG